rnacentral:rRNA from 1 species
UAGGGAGAAGCCCUCUUUGGGGGUGACGGUACUUGCAGAAGAAGCGCCGGCUAGUUACGUCCCAGCAGCUGCGUAAUACGUAGGGCGCAAGCGUUAUCCGGAAUUAUUGGGCGUAAAGAGCUUGUAGGCGGUUUGUCGCGUCUGCUGUGACAGACCGGGGCUCAACUCNGGUUCUGCAGUGGGUACGGGCAGACUAGAGUGCAGUAGGGGAGACUGGAAUUCCUGGUGUAGCGGUGAAAUGCGCAGAUAUCAGGAGGAACACCGAUGGCGAAGGCAGGUCUCUGGGUUGUAACUGACGUUGAGGAGCGAAAGCAUGGGGAGCGACCAGGAUUAGAUACCCUGGUAGUCCAUGCCGUAAACGUUGGGCAUUAGGUGUGGGGGACAUUCCACGUUUUCCGCGCGGUAGCUAACGCAUUAAGUGCCCCCCUUGGGGAGUCCGGCCCCAAGGUUAAAACUCAAAGGAAUUGACGGGGGCCCGCCCAAGCGGCGGAGCAUGCGGAUUAAUUCGAUGCAACGCGAAGACCCUUACCAAGGCUUGCCAUGGACCGGAAAGCCCUGGAAACAGGUGCCCCGCUUGCGGCCGGUUUACAGGUGGUGCAUGGUUGUCGUCAGCUCGUGUCGUGAGAUGUUGGGUUAAGUCCCGCAACGAGCGCACCCCUCGUUCUAUGUUGCCAGCGGUUCGGCCGGGGACUCAUAGGAGACUGCCGGGGUCAACUCGGAGGAAGGUGGGGACGACGUCAAAUCAUCAUGCCCCUUAUGUCUUGGGCUUCACGCAUGCUACAAUGGCCGGUACAAAGGGUUGCGAUCCUGUGAGGUGGAGCUAAUCCCAAAAAGCCGGUUUCAGUUCGGAUUGGGGUCUGCACCUCGCCCCCAUGAAGUCGGAGUCGUUAGUAAUCGCAGAUCAGCAACGCUGCGGUGAAUACGUUCCCGGGCCUUGUACACACCGCCCGUCA